AUCCAGCCGACGAGUCUCAAGUAGAACGAAAUGCGCAUCCCGAUGGAU
rnacentral:hammerhead_ribozyme from 1 species